rnacentral:rRNA from 1 species
UGGCUCAGGACGAACGCUGGCGGCGUGCUUAACACAUGCAAGUCGAACGAUGAUGCCCAGCUUGCUGGGUGGAUUAGUGGCGAACGGGUGAGUAACACGUGAGUAACCUGCCCUUGACUUCGGGAUAACUCCGGGAAACCGGGGCUAAUACCGGAUAUGAGCUACCUUCGCAUGGGGGUGGUUGGAAAGUUUUUCGGUCAAGGAUGGGCUCGCGGCCUAUCAGCUUGUUGGUGGGGUGAUGGCCUACCAAGGCGACGACGGGUAGCCGGCCUGAGAGGGCGACCGGCCACACUGGGACUGAGACACGGCCCAGACUCCUACGGGAGGCAGCAGUGGGGAAUAUUGCACAAUGGGCGAAAGCCUGAUGCAGCGACGCCGCGUGAGGGAUGAAGG